UACGUAGGGGGCUAGCGUUGUUCGGAAUUACUGGGCGUAAAGCGCACGUAGGCGGCUUUGUAAGUUAGAGGUGAAAGCCCAGGGCUCAACCCUGGAAUUGCCUUUAAGACUGCAUCGCUUGAAUCAUGGAGAGGUGAGUGGAAUUCCGAGUGUAGAGGUGAAAUUCGUAGAUAUUCGGAAGAACACCAGUGGCGAAGGCGACUCACUGGACAUGUGUUGACGCUGAGGUGCGAAAGCGUGGGGAGCAAACAGG
rnacentral:rRNA from 1 species